AUACCCCUUAUUUCUUAUUUUUAAAAUAUUGUCUAGACACAUAUUGACAAUUAAGUGCUUUUACUCUUUAUUGUUACUAUUACUUAAAAAAUAGCACUUUCCACAGUUGAGAAUAAUAAUAGCUUUUUUCAGGUUAAAUAAAAGUUUAACAUUUUUUGUAGUUACUACUCUCUUCAGGCUAAUUUCAAACUUCCAACAAUUUACGUAUAGAAUCACAACAUAACAUUGCUGUGGUUAUGUGUUGUUAAACAAUGUUAUUACACUCUUACAUAAGUACUAAAUUACAUAUACAUAAAUAUGAGAAAUAAUAAUAAGUGAAUCCUAAAAAAUAAAAUAAGAUCCAUAUAAAAGUAUUAUUCCUAUCUUGCAAAUUCAAUUAGUUUCAACAAGAUUUUAAAAAAAGAAAAAAGGGGUAAUUGAUAUUCACUCAUCCAUUACUCGUGUCAUUCCCUUCUUAUUGUUUCCAAUGCCAUUGGUAGUUCAGUAGCCAUUAUGUCAUUUAAUAAUCUCUUUUUUAUGCCUCCUUGUUAUUUCUAUCAUUUCUGCUGUCAAUGCCUUAGUUUUCUUCCUAAUCUGUUUUAUUAUUUUUGCAUUUUCUCAUUCUAUUUUCAAAUCUAUCAUAUAUGCUUCCAUUACCAAAGCUGUGUUCAUUGGCAAUGGAAGCAUAUCCCCUUGGCUAUGUCCUUUUUGUGUUGAUCCAAACUUUGGGCUAGGGUUAGAUAAGAGUGACAAUUGAACCCUAGCCAAAAGGUUUAGUGAACAGCAAUGAUAAACUGUUUUGUAAUAUUAAUGAAUUUGUUUAUCAUAAAUAUUAUAUAGUAUUCUAAUAAAUUGUCAACAGAAAUACUAGAGUCAAAUUAAAACAUAAAUUUUAAUUUUUUAGUAGAAAUUUUAUAUUCAGCUUUAAAUGUGAUUAUAUUUCUUGAUUAUUUGAAUGUAAUUUUUAAACUUUUAUCUUUAUUUCAAAAUUAAUCUGAAAAAUAUGAUGAUUUCUUAUGAUUGC
rnacentral:lncRNA from 1 species